CUAAAGUGUUUAUGGCACUUUCAAAUCCAUUACCCACCUUGUGUGCAUUGUCGGGGAGAGGACUCUUUCUCAAUCUCCCUUUCUCUCUCUCGGGAGGAGGAAAAUGGGUGAGGGGAUUCUCCUUUUUACACAUACUAUGUUCUUCAGUAUCAGUCUACUUUUAUUGAGUGUAAAAAACUCUAAUA
rnacentral:misc_RNA from 1 species